AAGAGGAAGAAGAGGAAGAAGAAGAAGAAGAAGAAGAAGAAGAAGAAGAAGAAGAAGAAGAAGACUUCCUUAAAAUUGACAGUGAGGGGGUUGCCUGUGCAAACCAACCUUCCAGCUGUGAGAGCUAAGAAUCUUCAAACGUGCUUGGAGCAGUUUUCUGUGGGGAAGAGGUCAGCGCUGGUGCAUUUCCAAAGCAUGUGGGAGUGAAGCCUGGUGAUCAGUGAAGCUGCCCUGAAGAAGAAUCCCAAUAUCACGUAUCAGUUAGAUGACCAAGUUCAGGGCCCGUGCAACUGCAGCAGCUCGGCUCUGGAGACCGGAUCCGUUGGGGAUACGAUGGACCACACCCACAUAGUGAUUAGACCGUCUGAUUGGACGCCAUGUGGACGUCUUGACCACUACCAUGUCUUUCAUGCAAAUUUAAGAAGCUUCCGACUCUCCAUUUGCGAGCGUGUCGACCAGGGCUGACGUUAAUGGAGGUGGAGAGGAGCGAACACAUCAGAACGGCGGGAUCUCUCUUGUCCUCCACCCUUCUCCAGCCCUUGGGCGUCUUCAGCAUCAGAUGUCAUCCUGCCAAAGACAAAACAUCUGACAAGUCUCUCCGGACAUUGAUGUAUGGACUGUGAACUCCUGACCCAAUGAAAAGCAACAAGAGGGACUGUUGCCGCACAGCAUGGAGCAUGUCAGGGGUCACAAUGCGGAGAUGGCUAAACACCCCCUCUUUAGCCCGAGGGUGAAGCCAAUAGGUCCACAGUGUGUGAGUCACAGUGUCUCCCAUCUUGGAUCUCCACCUCAGCGUGUUUCCAUAUCCUGCCUCUGGGGCUGCAACACGGACACCGCUCUCCUCCUCCUCCUCAUCUUGUCCGAAUAACCUCAUGUGUUGGACUGGGCAAAAGGGAAACUCUCUGACAAUACGUGUGAUUGCUGUUAGCGUUGAGACGGCGAUUGGCAACGCCUGGAGUCAAAGCGAUGACACACUGGGUCGGUGUAUUGGCAAAAGGUUACGACGCGCUGUAAUGGAUCACAUUGGACAGAACUGCAUCAGAAUGAAGCACUGAACUGCUGCAAAGUGGGGCCAGAGCUGGAGCUCGACUCCGUCUCACGCCUCCGUCUGGGAAAACCAAAAGUCCUGCACAGUAUCUCAAACACUUUUUAUUUUUCCAAAGUGUAUUUUGCCCUUUCAAUGAGCUCCACACAGGGAGAAUAUAUUAUGUUUUCUUACGCUAUUGAUUCCAUGUCUCUGCCCACUCAGGCCUCUCAAGGCCGACAUUAAAACGUCUUGCUUCCUAUCUCCAUCUUUAAUUGAUGGUGGAUAUUGCUCUUAUCCACACACACUCAAUUCUCUGCUCUUCACUCCUUAAUAUUAAGUGUGUGUGAAUGUGCACGGACUGUAAAGGCUGCUUUUGAACCCCUUACUGGUUUCAUUCUCGGCCUGACAAGGAUAAGGCAGUUAUGGGCGCCUUAAGAGCUUAUGGAUUAAAAGGAGGAUGUGCGCUGUGAGUGCAAGACAAGACAUUAGGAGCGCUUUAUUAGCUAAUCAUACGACAAUGGGCUUAAAGCACUUAUGUAAAAUAAUAUAAUGACAAAGGCAGAAUCUGUGCUUGCUUGGUCUCGCUGCAUUAGUUAAGAGGGUAGUAAUGUGUGUUGGAACAAUUAAGAAAUUAAUUGAAUAAGAAAUAAAAGAGGUGUUAAGAUUACACAUUAUUCAGAACAGUAAGAAGGCAGAUCUCACUGGCAUUGAUCUUAAACGUCCGUUUACAACGGAGACACCUCCUUUUCCUGGUCACCUGUCAAUCUUUCAGGAUGUCAGCAUCAGCUGUUGACAGCGAGGGGGCGGGAGGAGGCGAGAGACGAGCAGACAGACGUGUGGCUAUUACAUCACUGGGGUUUCUGUCGUCUUUCAUCCCCUCGCUGCCCGGCAGUGAUCAGAGAGCGCUGGGAGGGAGUUUAGAUGCGUGAACGGCGUGUCCACACACGCUUCAACUUUUAUGGACAUCUUAAAUGUGCACGGAUUCAAUUCCAAUUAGUUUCACAGAAUAAAACACAUUUUUCAUAUUUGCCCGAUGUUGUAAAAAUAACCGCUUUCACACGUGGGUCGGAUUUGGAGAAUGGCAGCGCGCUGCGGGGACUUUAAGCACACACCUCUGAAUGAAUGUGUCACAAUUUUGGCAACGGGAUGAAAUCAGGUCACCUAAGCCGUUAAUAGGCAGCUAUCAUCAGGAGCGCGCGUGCACGUGCGCGCACGCGCACGUGCAUGCACGGCGCCUUUUUUUACACUGUGUGCGAGCGUUCCUCGAGGGCACGGCUGCAGUAAUGAUUUACUAAAUGUCAAAUGAACAGUAGUGUGGAGAAAACACCACGCAGGCGUGUUGGCUGGGAGCUCUUUAGCAUUUCACGCCCUGAUUGUGAGACAGCUCCUUUGGUCAGCAGCAUGUCAUGAGAAUUAGUGCCCAGGGAUUAUAUGCACACUUUAAGCACCACACUUAACUCUUUAUUUAGACACAAAGCUGCAAACACACACUCGGUGCUGCGGCGCGCUAAGGUCAAGCUGCACGCGAGCGCUCCCGAGCUUCCUCCCAUAGUUCCUUUCGACUUUUCCCCGGCUCCGUCGCUGACAGCUUUUGAGUGGAAAAGAGCACAAACCAUCUGUGCUAUAAUAGCUUUUAUGAGUCGGUUCCCUCACGCAGAGAGCAUGGUGUGGUCUCAGGGGUGGGCAUUGCAGGCGGUGGCGGCCUGAUGAGGGCUGAGAGGUUGCCAUGUUUGCCGUCUACCCCCUCUCAGACUCCUUUUCUGGGUCCACAGAGACCGAGGAGAGGCCUGUCGCCCGCGUUCUUGUUGCCUAAUCACUUUCUUUCGCUCGUCCCGUCCUCCGCGUGACAUCUCGGGCUGCCAUUCACUUUUGCACUCGGCCCCCAAACCAUCAUUUAUUUAUUUGUCCCGUUUCCAGCCUUGUUUCGCUCUCAGCACUCAGAUUCUUUGCCCCGGUUUGCGAGGAAAAGGACCCAGAUGGCACCAAAGGCGAGGAUGUAAAAAUGGAUAUAAGCUGAGGAUCAUGGAGUCCAGAGUCGCACUGGGGCGCUGUGUCCACGGAUGUGCCUCCAGUCUUUUCCUCUCUUUGAUCUCACAGUGUUAUGACUUUCUAUGGCUUUGGGUUUGUCUUUAGAUUUUUAACCACUAUUCUACUUGGUUCAGUGUCGCCCAGCUGAUGCCUUUCCUUAACUUUCUACGCUGCUUCGUCUUUAUAGUUCUGCGACUACUGACGUGACAUUAGUUCUCCCACUGAUGAGAGAGACGUCCUGUCGUCACACCUGCCUCCACUCUUAACGUGCACAGACGCAUAUGGGUCAUUUCGGCUUCAUCGCUGAUGCAUCAACAGCUUGUUUCCGCGGUAGGUCGUCUGGUGGAAGGGAUGCACUGUAGGCAAACACUGGCGAUGCUUGUUAAGAGUGGAACUGCACUGUUUCAAGUUCCAGUUCACCACAAAACAUAUGUUGAGAACAAAUAACGUGAAAAUAGUGCUGAGUAUGCGGAAUUUCCCAAAACGCUUCAAUCAAACAAACAAAUUGUUUAAAUAUGCGUUCAUGCCUUAUGGUGGAAGAUGAGAGCGUGUCUUUUACAGCGAAUCCCGCUAUUGUCUUUACAGUAAGUAAACAUCCCAGCUCCCCCAGGCAGCGUGUGGGUGGCACCAGCAGGUUGGCGGCUGUGAUGCACACCACCAUGCUGUCGCCACCAGCUCCCAUUCCCACUCCCCCCAUCCCUCCUAACGUCACAUUCGUAGUAGGACUAGUGACACUCGGGGCCUCAUCAAACCUACAGUAAAAGUGGGACAGACUGGCAGACGACCGCUAGCCUCGCUCAGAGUCUGCUAAUUGUCACACUCUCAAAUCCACAUUCAUCUGUGUUCAUGCUCUACAAUCAGUGUUUGACUAAGUCGUAGGAAAUUGUGGAGAGGUGGGCUGUCCGUCCAUCCGUCCGUCCAUUCAUUCAUCCAUCUACAGUAUCCGUCUAUUCAUCCAUCCAUCCAUCCAUCCAUCCAUCCAUCCAUCCAUCCAUCCAUCCAUCCAUCCAUCCAUCCACCCAUCCAUCCAUCCAUCCAUCCAUCCAUCCAUCCAUCCAUCCAUCCAUCCAUCCAUUCAUUCAUUCUUCUAUCUGUCUAUCCUUCCGUCCGUCCGUCCAGCUUUAACCCAGUUUUCAGCCAGUGUCUCAGCCUCUCAAACACUUGUUCAUUUUUUCUCUGUUGUCACCUCCUGCUUAUCUUGAUUUCUGAGCACAGAAGCAGACAGGUGUUCUUGAUUGGUGUUACUUUCCACUGAGCGUGGUAAGGCAACACCUUCAACCCAACUUUCAAUCCAUUUAUCCUAAACAACUGUGCUAUCGUAACAUAUCCACUGCCACUCUGUGUGCGUGUGUGUGUGUGUGUGGGGGGUUUAUAUCUGUGUGUACCAGCCUGUCUGUGUAAGUGUGCUCUGUUCUUGCAUUUGGGGGGCUGGGGGGUUAGAUUUCAUCCUGAUAGCAGGGGCAGUCGUGGAGGAGGGCCAAACAUAUGUUCCGAGGGCCAGGAACAAAAGCACUGACACGUUAGCCUUUUCACGGAGAUGACCUUUCCGCCGCUCCCCAUCCCAGCCUUUCUGCCUGCCGCUGUCUUUUUGUCUGCCAGCUCGCCCCAGGCCCAGAUCAAGCGGAGCGCUAGAAUUUCUCCUCGUUUCCCCAAAUCUCCCUUGACUAAAUGUCAGGAUUACAUAUUUUUCUGCUCACACCGAGGGCUUUAAUUAGCACUACUGUUUGUGCGCAAAUGCUGUUUACGCACGUGACGGUGAACGUAUAUGAGCAAGUCAAUGUCAGUUCACUGCGCGGACGUGUGUGUCCGUGCACGCGUGUGUAUUGCUGUGCUGCGAGCAGAUUUCGCCAUUCAGUUUCCCCCGACCGCUCUCACUUCAGGCCAGAGCGGGGGGAGGAGGAGGGAGGUGGGAAAGGUGAGAAAAAGAGGGAGAAUCACACUUAGUGGUGGCAGCAGAUUUGCUAAUGUGCAAAAAAACUCAAAUGCACAAACAUGCAUGAAAAACCGGGUCCUCCUGAAACCUAAGGCCACUACAUGAGUUCUGCUGUUUUUUUUAGCAUCUUUCAAAAUUUAGUAUCUAACUUUUAUGUAGAUGGACAGAAGAUAAAAUACACAUAAGAAUGUAAAUAAUGAUAGCGUAAGGAGAGGCUUCUUUCCUUGUACCAGAAUGAUAAACACGCUGUCCUACAGGGACAUUAUGAGCCUGCAUGAAAACAGCUGGAGCUGAAAAGGUCCUGAAGUUCAGUAGCUGUAGGAUAAUGUCGACAUGUUACCCUAAAGUCAGACACUGGUGAAUGCAGAGCACUAAAGCAGCAGAGUGUGUAAUCCUGGAAAUGUUCCUGGACCAUAAGAGUUUUCCCUGAACGCACAAAUACAGAAUAUC